rnacentral:rRNA from 1 species
UACGAAGGGGGCUAGCGUUGCUCGGAAUCACUGGGCGUAAAGCGCACGUAGGCGGAUCGUUAAGUCAGGGGUGAAAUCCUGGAGCUCAACUCCAGAACUGCCUUUGAUACUGGCGACCUUGAGUUCGGGAGAGGUGAGUGGAACUGCGAGUGUAGAGGUGAAAUUCGUAGAUAUUCGCAAGAACACCAGUGGCGAAGGCGGCUCACUGGACCGGUACUGACGCUGAGGCACGAAAGCGUGGGGAGCAAACAGGG